GCGAGACUCCGUCUCGGAAAAAAAAAAAAAAAAAAAGAAAGAAAAAGAAUUCUGGACACUAAAGCAGGAUGGUGGCGAAUAGUGCAACAUGUAAAGAUCUAAGAAAUGCAGAGCAGAGGGUCCCUGUCACCACUUCAUUUGAUUCACCAGUCUGAACCCUGAAAGUGAAUUUUGUGGACUAACACAAGAGCACAGGUAGUGGCUCCGAUAGCAUCUGAUAUGUUGAACAUGGAAUAAUGCUUGUGCGAAACAUCAUGUCGCUCCAUUACACUGAUGUUAUGGGGUUCAGAAAACACACCUCAAAGCAUGGUGCUUUGACAUGCUGAAUACUUUGAACUAAAGAAGCAAUCUCAAAACCAAAAUCUCUCUCUCGCUUUCUCCUGCCCCACUGUCUCUCAUCUCUCUGCCUCUCCUGAAGCAAAGGGAGAGGGUUUUCUCUGAAGUUCCUUUAUCUACCUGAAGACCGGAUCCACCAAAGAAGAGCACAAUGCCUUCGGUCUUCCCACUGAAAUUUCAUUAACCAACAAAGAUGAAACUCAUAUCACAGAGGAAGAGACUGAAAAUCAAACAUCAUACUUAGAGCCCAGACAAACUUUGUCCCAGGCUAUCUGUUCUGCUGUCUCAUUUAUCUCUCCUAAAAAUCAUUUACCACCCCUCUAAAAAUUGGCCUACACCCCCCAUUUUCCAUUAUUCUAUGAAGAAAAGUAUUUAAACUUCUAGACCUCAUUGGGAUAUUGAACACUCACCUUCCUGUGAUGCUCCUAAGCACUGCUCCAGAAAACAAGACUAACUAGAAUUCUGGAAAAGCUCUUUACAGAGACAGCACACUUAUAGAAGAGACACAUGGACCUGAGUGAAACAGAUGUGUGAGCCUCUUGAAGUAACUGUAUCCCCAAGACUUAUGAUAUGUACUGCAAUAUAUGAAGGGCCAUCCUCUGAACUCAUGAAACAACUAACUGCAUUGGAAAUAGGUUUGACUUUCUGGUAUUAUGUUAGACAGUACCCAAAUGUAAAUUAAACACACUUCGUAUGAGUUGGGGAAAAUGGGGUUGCAUUUUAUUGCUCUAAAAAGCUCAGAAAUGAGUUUUUAUAUCUUAACUUCCAUAAACAUUCCUCUUUUAGUUUUUCAGUCAGAAUGCUGAUGAAUGACCUUUACCAACUCUGUAUUUUCUACAUUCAUUGCUGUAUUUUAAAGGAGAAGCCGGAAUCUGUGUUUUCCAGGACCCCUAACCCACAGGGUUCCAGUUUAGAUUCUUGUAGCCAGAGACAAUCAUGUACAAUUUAGAAAUUGAAAGAGAAACAAAAGUAAUUAUUCACCAGCAGAAGCUGUGAACAGACCAGUGGAUAUUAUCAGAGCAGUUUUGGGGCUUCAGUAACGGUUUCUUGCUGUCCUCAGCAAAAUUUUCCAUUUCAGUCUGUUCAGGCAGCUGAAUUCUUCCAGGACAGUGGUCCUGCACCCCUUGUACUCCUGUGUUCCCUCAGGGCCAGCAGAAGUCUCUAUAACCUUCUCUAUUUCAGGCCUUCCAAUGGUCGAAUAAGCCACCUAUAUUCAAUCCCUUCCCAUCUAAAAUAUCUAGUGCGGUUUCUGUUUUCUUGGCCAAAUCUCAUUGACGUAGGAGGCCAUGAGAGAUGGUGAACAUGCAUACAUGCUGAGAUGCUUCAAAUUAGAGAGUAUUACUUUUAAAAGUACAAUCACUGGACUAAGCCUUAACUCAGUUUCUGAGAGGAGAUAGAGGCAAAAUUUGUAAAGCAAAAGGAGCAAACUAUUUGAGGAAAAU
rnacentral:lncRNA from 1 species